ACCCCUCCCAACCCCUUCCAUCUGCAGUGACAGUGUAGAAAGUCCAGAUGAGGAUGUAGGAUCAGACAGCGACGUGACUACUGAAUCUGGGUCGAGCCCUUCCCACAGCCCAGUGGAAAGACAAGAUUCUGGCAGUGUGCCCAGCUCUCUCUCUCUUCUCCACAGUGGAGUGCCUGCAAAGGGGAAACUAUCCACUGAAAAGAGACACAAGUGUCCAUACAGUGGAUGUGGCAAAGUCUAUGGAAAAUCCUCCCAUCUUAAAGCCCAUUACAGAGUGCAUACAGGUUAGCUGUGGUCUCUCAAUUACAGAGGGGGGAUGUUGGGGUUAACCCAGUGGGUGACCAGGGCAGCAUUGGCUAUUUAAGUCAUGCUUUUAAGUCAUGAACAUUAACCUCUGUUCUUAAAUGCUGAAAAUAUAGACACAUAUUUAUGUUAAAAAUUGAUUGUCCUGAUUUGAACUCCUUAGAGAUUAUUUUACUAUUUAACGUGUUUUCUCCCAUCCUCCAUUUUUGUCUCUCAUCCUUGUUAUUAGCUGUGAAUGCAAUGGCUUUCUGGCUACAUUCAGUCUAUGAAAGCACAGUGUGUUACAGAAAUUGCAUGGACCAUAUAGGGCAGAAAGGAAAGGGUGUUCUUGUGAUUUGUCAUGUUAUUAAGAUGUUUUUUUCCCCCCUCUUCCCUGUAUCUGUGACACUGAGAGGAUCAGACCAGUAGAGGAGCUGUUUAGACUCAAAUGGUAUAAUCUGCUUCCAUGAGAGUAGCAAGAAUUAACCAAAAAUUGCAAGGAAGCUGCACACCCAUAGGCAGUAAAGCCUUUUAGGGAAUUCUCUGUGUUCGUCCAGCCUUAUGCUUGUUUUUGUGCUUGCCAAACUGCAUUUACAUUUGGGCAGGAGCCUUCAGAGAGUUUUAAAAUAACAUUGCUUAGUACAACAUAGAAUUUUUGACAAGAUAGGGGAUAGCUUCUGACUAGCUACUUACCAAGUCAGAUUUCAGAGCUUCAUUUUAUUCAUCCUGUGUGUUAGGACCUGUCCCCCUGAGCUCCGCUAUAAUAUUAAGGGCGUGGUCAGUUUGAGGUUGUGGAUUGAUGACGAAUUUUAUGAAUUCUCAUAAGGAAACAUGUAAACUAUAACACCUACAUGAAUCAGAAUGUGAAAGAUCUAGUAAUGAAUGAGCUAAAAUAUGAAAAAUGGAUGAGGCCAAAGGCAGGGAAAACUCCAGCUUUAGAAUUGUAACCAUCCUUGACAAGACAAAUACACUUUGAUUAAUCAGAUAUACUGAAGGAAAGUUGUUAGGUGGUUAUAAUUCUAAUAUACCAGUCCAUCUUCUAUGUAAGCCUCUUAAAUCAGACCUGCUGGCAUAAGGCUACAGCACACUGGGUCGUAAAUUAUGACAGCCACCAUCACUAUAGCCAUUUCUUUUACAACACUGCUUUUACAGCAGACUAUUUUUGUAAAGGUAUUGAGCAUAUUUUUAAUGAACAAAUGCUUUUAAAUAAAUGCUUUUUUUCUCCAAUAAGCACAGCAAGAAUAGAGGGGCAAAUUCUCUGCUGAUGUAAAUGGGCACACUUCCAUUGACUUCAAUGAAAUCUUGCCCAUUGAUAUUAGGAGAGAAAUUGGCUUAUUUUUAAAAAAUACAAGCACAUGAGUCUGAUACAUACUUAACAAGGAGGACAGCCGUUAUUAAAGAUCAGAUGUAAGGUAAAUCUCAACCUCUGUUAACUUUCAAAGCUAUGUGCAUUCCAUCAGCUUUACAAUUUGUGUUUUGAUGGCACCUGUUCACCAUCAUUAUUUUAGUCUGUUCCCAUGAGGGGAGUGGAUGGCUCAAAAUACUGGUAAUACAGAGUUACAGAGCUAUUCAUUUUUUACAACAGUGUUCUGAAUGCAGAAUAGGUUGGUCCUGGUAAAGGUAAAUUAUCACAUUAUGGCUGGUUGGGCCUAUAUGGAAUUAACUGGUUGUCUCAGUCUAGUUUAUAGUGGAUGAGUUGCCAAACUGUGUUCCCUUUCUCUCUCACACAGAAGACAAACUCCAUCAUGACAAACUGACACCUUUAUUGGCAAACUCAGCAGAGACCAAGGACUCCAUGGACAUGGAGUGAGGGGAAGAUUUUCAAAAACAUGUAGAUGACUUAGGACCCAGAUCUGUGAAUUUCACUAUUUAGGUGCCAGUAGCAUUUUCAAAGUUGCCCCUGAGCUGCCACCUCAUUCCAUAGAUGUCUAAAUCUCCUAACUGCCUUGCCACUGACCAGCAUUUGCAAAGCUACCCCCCACAGUUAAAGAGCUGCUCAGAGCUCCAGCCCAAGACAAAGCCCCCAAAUGAGAUUAGAGGGGGGAGGCUUGUCUUGCCAAUGGGGUCUGGACUGAUAGGCAUGCUCUGAACAUGUCUGGAGACCUGAUACCUGUUAGAAUCAACAGCUGAAACAGGUCAUCAGUAGGUGGAAGAGCAGCAUAGUGCCAUACAAAAGACACAUGGGGGUACAGAGAAUGUAGAAUGAGUGGGAGAAAGGUAUCAAGCAUGAACAGGGGAGGAAGUGAGAGUGUUUUGGUUGGUAGGACACUGGCUAAGUGGCUGAUCUGGCUUAGGUGCCUAACUCUAGGAGCUGUUGACUCUGACUGAGGGUCCUGAUUGGCAGAACCCAAUCUCUAAGCCAGAUGCACCAGUCAUCAACUAGUGCCUAAGGGCCACACCUCUCCUUAGCAUUUCAUUCCUGGCUAGCUUAGACAACUCUCAGUUCUGCCGACUGGCUUCUGAAAAUCCCUUCAUUAGGUGCCUAAUUCUCCCCCUGCAUUGUACAGAGCAUUUCUGGCUGUCUGCUUGGGGUUUUCGCUGUCAGACACUGAGCGGAGCAAUACCUAAAUACCUUUAAGGAUAUGGGCCUUAGUCCCAUGACUUCCCAGGGAAAAUAUGCUCCCUAUCAUAUCACUUGGCAAUUUAAAAAAUGUUACCCUUAACCUAAUUUUUAACCACACUCUACAGGUGGCCUAUUUAGGUGGGGUCGGGGGGACAGGACACAGUUGGGUCAAAUUGACAGGGCAACAAGGGGACUACUGCAUUAGUUCCAUAGAGGACAUCGGUCUUCAGUAGUGUCACAAUGGUGUUUUUCACCAAGACUAAGUUAAUAAGACUGUAUAUGCUACCUCAAGUGGGUGAGAUAGUAUGGCAAAACAUUAACCGGACAGUAAAAUAAAUAAAUAAAUAAAUGUUUAAAAAAGAUCUGCUAUAGUAAUUCAGCUGUCCCUACACACCCCUCAAAAAUUAUAAAGAUAGUCAUUGUCAGCUUUUUAAAAAAACCGUCAUAAGUCCUUUUAAUUCAUGUCUGGAUGAAACCAUUGCAACACAUGUACAUUGCAAUAGUAGACAAAGCUGGUGCACAGGACUGAUUAAAAGUUGCUGUAAAUAAGAGUUGUGCAUAAGUGCAAGACUAAAGUCAGAGGACACCAACAUCACCAGAAGUUGGAAGUAUACCUUCCAAUCAUAUAGUAUCUCUUUUGUAGAUUACUUGGUUCUUUUCUGAGCUUUCUAUAAAAUGGUGGCAGUAGGAAGAGAAGAGAUUUUUAAUCACAGAAGAUCUACCACAGGGCACUGCGGUAAUAGUUAUGCAUGAAGAGCAGUUUUAUGAAAGAAAAUGGCUAAUUCAGAAUUACAGUUAAACUCCUGUUGAACAAGAUUUCCCUUUAGCCUAGCAAUACUACUGUACAUUACAAUAAGGUAGACCUGAGUUUGAUUACCUGUCUUGUGCUCUCCAUGCUAUAGGGCUACUCAGCUCAGGGAGGACAGGUGGACAAGGAGAAUGUUGGCAUGUCAUUCAACAGCAGGUUAAUUAAGGAACCUCACUGAUUGCCUAUAGUACCAAGGAAAGGAGUGCAGUCGUGCUCUAACUUGUUGGGCUGGUAAUAAUGCCAUAGAACCUUAUGGAGAAGGAAAGUUCACCUGAACUCCUAGUUAUCUUCCUGGUAGUGAACUUUGUGGAUUUCUAAGCUUCAGAGGUGAACUGUGUGAAGAAAAAAUACUCCAUUUGCCCAUUUCCAGCUCACAGAUACAGAUAGAAACUUGAGAAAGGCCUAGGAAGGGAAAGCCAUUUAUCAAAAAACUAGAUUUAAAAAAAAAGGCCCACCAUUCUCAGUCCUUUAACCUACCCUAGGGCCUGUGUGGUGUCUGACCCGUUAUUUCAUGUCUAAUACAUAAUCAGAAAUAUGGUAGCUAAAUGUAGGUGAAGACUUGCAAAUUUGUGGCUUGCAAUAGACAAAGGAAAUGACAGCAUCUUUCCAAUUUGUUCCCAGAAAUCCAUCUUGUUCUGAUGUAUAUAUCAGCUGGCAUAUUGCAUUCUGCAUGCUGACAUGUAAAUUAACAUACUACAUUGCUUCAAAAUUCCUAUCAUUAGUUUUGUUAUAACAAGUCGGUUUUUAAGUGGAAUAGGAUUUACCUAGGCCAGAUAUGAAGUGGAUACCCAUGGAAAUCUAAUAAAGGUUAAUGCUAAUAACAGUAUCGUUUUCGGUCAUUAAAUAUGAAUAUAGCUGAAUAUUUGUGGUGUAGGGUAAUAAGCUCUCAGCUCUUUCCAGUGUAAGCAGAGUUACCUUUAGCUGAUAGAAUAGUAAAUGAUACUCAUCAAAAGAAUUACUUCAUGAAUGGGAGAACUGAAAAAGCCGUGUGUAGCCUCUAAGUUCACCUAAAAUCUGUACUUAUAAAUCAAGGAUUACUCCAGUCCUAUCUUUGGAAAGGGAGCAAAACAGAUAAGUCACUAAAGGAAAUCAAGACAAUACCCCCUAGGCAAAUAGGAUUCUUGAACUCUGCAAACAAUUAUAAAAUGCAUGUAGCAGAUUUGAAGUCAUUCCAAGAGUGAUACAUUCCGUAGCCACAGCUAUGUAUUUCUGGAUUGGAUUGACCAGGAAUAGACAUGACUACACAUUAUAAAGUUAACUAUCCAUCUUCAGUGAUUCAUUCAUUCAAAAAAGUUGCUGUCCAUCAUUUCAUGAACCCUUAAAAUCAGCCUGGCAUUUCUAAUGUGAACUUGCUUUCCUAGGCAAAGAUUUGAUUUCUCACUGCCUUUGCAGUCGUUAGCACUCUUAGUUAAAAUAGAUCCUCAUCAAUAGUUACUGGCUGCCAUUGUAAAUAUUGAAUGUUUAUCUUAUUCUGUCUUGAAAAACGGUUUCUGAAUGUCUACUCAUUGUACCCAUGGUCUGUGUCUUACUAAUAUAAAUAUCCCCUUUCACUCAUGUAUACUCACUAAGUAAGUUAAAAAAGUUUAGUGACUACUUAUGUGCAUGUUGUAUUGGUGUGAAAUUAAAACCACACUGGCACAUGUUGUACAAGCUGAUAGAAAAUGAGGGAUGAAAUACCAGACUAAGUUACAAGAAGAGGGAACUACAGAUCAGAUAAUUAUUAGUAACAUGCAGACUCUUUUAUCCCCUUAACUGCUAGUUCAAACCAGCCCCUCUUGCAGACUCCAAAAGGAGCCAUCUGAGGACUGGAUGCUUAUGGCCUGUUUCAUGACUCCUGCUCAAAAUUAGCUUGACAAUUAAUAUUUAAUUUUGGUGAUGUCUUGGAUUUUGGACUGAAACCCAAGACAUCACUAAAAUUAGUAUUAUGAAUUAUUUCUUGUAGCACCUAUGAAGUGGUUGGGACUUUUCUGAUGGAAGAGAGAGCCUGACCAUAUUCUUCAAGGAUACCACAAUCUAAAGACUUUCUCUCUGCCUUGAGGCUACAGGAAGGAUGCAGUACACAUACAAUUAAUCUUUAGAAUGUGCAUAUAUACAUAUAAUGAAAAUAGGAUAUGCAAAAUUAUACCCAAACUACUUUUCAGACUUGAUAUCAGUGGUAGCUUUCCCAAAACCAUCAUGACAGAGGUCAGGCUUCAGGAGAGACUUGAAUAUGACAAGGGUACAGUUCUUCCAGAUAAAUGCCAUAAGGCCAUACCAUGCACAGAGAGUAGCAUAGAAAGCAUAGAACCACAUAGGAGAUGCAGUUGCAGACAGAUGGGCAGUCAGGGCUGAAGUCUCCGGUGCAGAGGAGAGUCCAGGUGGAAGUGGGUGGAUGGUUGAUUUAGAGUAGCACGGGGCAUUCGUUUGGCAAUACAGAGUCUUUGUUGUCAAUUUAUAUUGUUAAUGAGGGUAGAGCUGGGGCUGAACAGUCUUUUUAGAAAGUUUUAAUUAAAAUAUAUAUCUGAAAGGUGAAAGAAGGAGGGUGUGAACAAGGACAGCCAGUAAAUGGACACAUGCCACAUGGGAGAGACCAUCACCACUAAUUGCCAAGAGAGGAAAUGAGAAGCAGUAUAGGUAGCAAGAGGCUAAUUAUGUGGGCUGUCUGUUAUAGGGUUAGAAGAAGCCUCAGUUAGGAACCCUGUAAGGAUGUUAAGUAUUGAGUAAAUGACUAAGUGUGUAUCGAGUACACGAUUAGUUGAUAAGGGGCCGCUGCAGCUCUGCAAUUUAAAUGUAGUAGGGGCCAGGCGUGCAGGCAGUCCAGCUCCUACUACAUUUAAACUGCAGAGCUGCAGCGGGAAUAGGUCUAGGACCCAGCACGAGCCAGGACUGCUUCAGUCCUGGCUUGCACUGGGUCCCGUGCUGCAUCUCUGCUCCUCCCCCUCGCACUGCAGAGACACUGCUGGGGGAACUGGCUUUUAAGCUGGCUCCCCCAGCACUGGCUCCUGCUCCCCCUCUGUUUCCUGCCUCUGAUAUAGAGGCAGCAGGGGGGGAGAAUGUGAAUAGUCAACUCAACUACCCAAUAAGCCUACAUUUAUCGGGUAGUCAACUAUUCAACUACUCUUUUAUAUCUCUAGAAGCCAGAGAGACUAAAGGUCCUGAGUGCUCCAUGUAGCAAGGUGCACUUGCUCCUAAGGUUUGGCUGAUGAUCUUUGUAUCAAAUAUUCAUAAUGAACAAGGAUUUCCCUGUAUUAUAAGUGCUUGGAAGAUAAGAUUUCCUAGAGAGUGCUAUAAAGUGCAUGAUGAGGCAUACACAUUCUCUGCCUCCUCAAUAGGGCCUUAGAACAACCCAUGUCAACAGGAGAGUCAGAACCAGUGCAAGAGAUUUGUAAUACAACAGCAGUUAUGCCCUUAAAUGCUUCCUUUGACAUUUUGCCCUUAAUGAUAUUCAGUGGCAGGUUAAGGGCAGAGACAUGGAACCACAGAUCUGUAUUCUGCUGUCCGGAGGGAAAGCUUACAGCAGCAUUUCUGUCACAAGAGAAAGGCAACUGAUUGAUGCCACAACACAAACACUGCACCAGAUAACCAGGCCCCUUACCUCUUUAGGCUGCUCCUGACUUCGUUACUUUCCCAUUUAUUUUCUGAAGUAUCCCAAGUUUGUCAGAGACAAUACAAAUGCGUAUUUUAAUGGGCAGUUUGGAGCAUUCAUUGUCUUUUGAGUUUAAAAUGGAAACAAUCUGAAAUCUAACAGUUUAAGUUUCUUAGUCGAGACACGUUACACAGGUAGCACCUUUAUAAUAUGGCUGAAGAUAACAGUGGUCACAGGGCAUCUUGAUAAAAAUGUGUGAAACCAUUAUUCUCAGGGAUUUAUACAAAUGUGAAAGUUUGUAUUGUUAUCAGAACAAAUGGACAGGUUUUCUAUCUAAGAGAAAAUUGUCAUAUUUGAUAAUAUUUGAUUACAUUGCUUGAAAGGCUAGUAGAUUUUUGAUGCUUUUUUGUAUUUCAAUUUUUAAAAACCCAAUAAUUAAGUAUUUAAUUAAAUUUCUCAUUGGGAAAAUUAUUAACCAGUGUUAGUGGUCACACUACCCAUCACAGCAAGGAAAAGCACAUGUGGAAGGGGAGCGGAGAACAACAAAGUGGCUGGACUUCAACUGCUUUACUUUCUCCUUUCACAUCAACAAUGUAACUCCUGUUGCCAGCAGAGGACAUAUUGGAAGUGUUGAUUCUAAGGAGUUAUUGCACCCUGUUGUGCCUUGGUAUUGGAGACCACUUAGUAUAUUUCUUUCUCACCUGAUUUUGUCAGUUCCUGUGCAGAACCAUUGGGGUUGCUGAGGGGAGUACAUUCCCCUUUAGUUCAGUGAACUGCAAUAUCGCACCAUCCUCCCCAUUCACUGAUAGAGCUGCCAAACCUGAAAAAGCAGAAAGUGUUGGGGAAAAACCAAGUUAAGUUUAAAUGGCCAAGUCCUAGGAUAGCAAGAAUAGGGCUCAUUUUAAAUUAUCUGAUGUUUGUUUUAACCCUGUGUUUAGAUACCAGGUCACACUCUUGUAUCUGAAUGUUCUGAAAUAUCAUGCUGGCAGUUUUUUUGGGGGAACCAGAAUGGCGUUCCAAUACUAUCGCUAAUUGUAAAAUAAACUAACAAUAGUGGUUAUUACCUUCAUUCUUCAUCUUGUACUAUUGGUGGUUGCACCCAUUCAGCAAAAUGGUGCAUUCCGGCUCUUUUUUAAUGGCUAGAGCGCUGAUGCUAAUUAUAGUGACUUGCACCCUAUAAAAACCUAAGACGGACAGAGUCUCAGGUUGUCCUGUUGAAUAGUCUAGCGCACGUGCAUGAAUAAAUAAUCAGCUAGGGAAUUCAUAGACAAUGAUGAAAACAAUGUUUUGUACUCCUGAAUAUAGAGACAACAGGUGUAAAUUUGUGCAGAGGUGUACUGAAGGAAUCAUGUAGCAUAUUGAUAUUACGUUUGGUGAUUAUGUGUAUGUUGUGGCUUUGGCUCUUCCCUAUAUUAAGUCAAUUUGGAAAACUAACUGCCAUUAGCAGCACACCUUCAGCACACCUGUCACGUAUCAGCACACAAAAUUGCUCUCUAAAGGGCACAAGAACAUACCACACUGUGGAUUGUACUUGCUCUAAGCAAAACUAGCUAUUGUCCGUUGAUACAGUGUCAGUGCAGAUAUCAAAAGCUGGUGUAAUAAUCUCUAUGGUGCAAAUUUCCCUUCCAUCAUUGUCCCACAGAGCACUAGCCACCACAGAAGAUCGCUGUUUGACCUAGUUCUUCUGCUUUGUUGAUUCAGGAUCAAGUUCUCCCGAUAUACCUUGCCUACUACUGCAUACCUGUAAUCUCAUGGUGUGCUGUUCUUUGCCAGCACCCAUAGCUUUGCAGUUAUUGUGUUUCAGCAAGCCAAUCUUGAAACACAUUUCAGAAAGAAAAAGUUAUUGUGUAUGAAUGCUGCCAGCUGGCCAGAAGCAGAUACCCAGGUGCUUGUGAGAUUCAAUUGCAUUUGUACUCUAAUUAGGAAAACCUUGGAUUAUGACUGUAUGACACAAAUAGAAUGUGUGGCAGAGAAUCACCCAUUUGGGAGAAACAACAUCAAGACAAAUGUAAAAGGGCCAAAGGAGCAAUGCACAAAGGCCUCAGAUAACUGCACCCAGUCUGGGCUACAGAGGAAAACCUGCCUUUUUUCCUAGUGAAUUGGAAAGUAUUUUUGGUACUCAUCAAUCUACAGUGUGUGAGGUACUUUGGAUGGCACUGAGACUCCUAGCACCUGGGAGAUCUGGAAAAGAGGAAGGACAAAUAUUCAUCAUAGCCUAAUCCAUGACAAGGGAUUUGGGCCAGGACCACGAAAUGUCUGAGACCUUACCGGGAUUCCAAGACUGCUUUGGAGAAGCUCAAGAUCUGGCUACAGCAGCCAAAGAGUUUGGGGUGAACUUAGGAGACAAAGGAGCACACAAGCCACAUGCCAAAGUAAGGGUAGGCAUGUAGUGUCAUCUGGCUCAGAUGUCACAUGACCAGACAAAAUGGAGAUGGCCCGACUGAAGCCAGGCCCCGUGUGGAAAUGCUGGCACAUCACAGAAUGGGAUCACAAAGGACUGAACACUUUUUUGAAAAACAAGACCAAUUUAGGCUAGAGGACAGAAUAUCAAUUAUGGAAUAUAUCUGACAUGAUAGUAAAAUGAAGCUGCCGCUCAAGAAGUCCACAGAAAACUUCUUCAAAGAGAAUAUGUGGAGAAGCAAAGGCAGCUGACAUCAUUCUCCCAUCACCCUGUACCUAUUUGCCUUGUUCAGUCACCUCAGCAUGAUGCUAUCAUACAGAACUGCAGCACCUCAUACUGGACUGCCUCCUUCCUAUCUGCUCCCUCUCCGGUAAUUUCAUGGAACACUGGUGGUGAACAGGACAACACUGGAGUAUGCAGAACAUGCUUUUAUGGUCCUAUAGCCCCAUUACCCAAAUCUGUGUGUGCUUGAUUUGUUUUUCUCUGGUUACUCAUUGAAGCCAGCUUGAAUGUUUCUGGUUUUAAAUAAAGUAAAUGUGCAUAAUUUA